AUUGAACGCUGGCGGCAUGCCUUACACAUGCAAGUCGAACGGCAGCACGGGAGCUUGCUCCUGGUGGCGAGUGGCGAACGGGUGAGUAAUGCAUCGGAACGUACCCGGAAGUGGGGGAUAACGUAGCGAAAGUUACGCUAAUACCGCAUAUUCUGUGAGCAGGAAAGAGGGGGAUCGCAAGACCUCUCGCUUUCGGAGCGGCCGAUGUCGGAUUAGCUAGUUGGUGGGGGAAAGGCCUACCAAGGCGACGAUCCGUAGCGGGGCUGAGAGGAGCAUCCGCCACUCUGGAACUGAGACACGGUCCAGACUCCUACGGGAGGCUGCAGUGGGGAAUUUUGGACAAUGGGCGAAAGCCUGAUCCAGCCAUGCCGCGUGAGUGAAGAAGGCCUUCGGGUUGUAAAGCUCUUUCGGCUGAAAAGAAAUCGCACAGGCUAAUACCCUGUGUGGAUGACGGUAUCAGCAUAAGAAGCACCGGCUAACUACGUGCCAGCCGCCGCAGUAA
rnacentral:rRNA from 1 species